rfam:Tupaia chinensis contig163942, whole genome shotgun sequence.
UUGCUUCAGUAGUAGCAUAUAUACUAAAAACUGGAACAAUACAGAGAAGAUUAGCAAGGCUCCUGAGCAAAGACAACACACAAAUUCAUGAAGCGUUCUAUAUUUUU